GCCCGCUCUGCCUUGGGGCCCGGACCUGCGCAGCCGCAGGGGCCCGCUCUGCCUUGGGGCCCGGACCUGCGCAGUCGCACUGCUCGGUAGUGGUCACACAGGCCUGUGAGGCUCCACACUACAGCAGAGAAGCCAGCAGGCAGCUACAUCUCCUGCAAAGCAGCCAGACACCCACAGAUCCUUUCCCCAUUGAAAGGGAGAAAGAGAUCUCUGUCAUAUAGUAACAGUACUGGAAUAUUAGUGCCACAGUGACUCCGCUCAGAAGCUCCCUGAUCAGCGCUGUGUCUCUGGCUGUCCUCCUCAGAAAGUGGUGAUUAUAGUGGCAAUAGCCCUGGUGUGUCUGGCAGUCCUUGCGCUCAUCAUCGGACUGUCGGUGGGACUCACUCGCAAAUGAGACUUCAGUCUAAAGUCAUCAUUCUAAGUGUGGUCUGCACAGUCCUAGUUUUGGUCAUCCUGGCAAUUGUUCUGGGAACAACCAUUAAGUGACAAGAAGGCUGAAACCUUGCAUCCUACAAAUCCCUCCUAUCAUCCCUUGUUUCCUAAUCUCCCUGUUCCCUGUGCAACUGUUGGCCUUCCUGACCCCGGCGCCCACCAAUCAGACGAAGACAACUGGGUGGGAACUUCCUGUUUUCUGUCGUGGCUCCUCCCAUUCUGUGGAGCUCCGCCCAUGCACUCCUGAGAUGGACACGCCCACUGAGGAGAGCGAGAGGGAGAUGGACAGACAGAGCCAGACCAUGGAGACAGACAGUGUGAAGGCUCUCUCUUCCUCGCUCUCACUCAUCCUGCUGCUCGCCACGUCUUGCCACACUAAGUCAGCCGGGCAGGGCCUCCUGGGCUUGUCUCCAUCCUGCUCGUCCCUCUGAUGACGUUUGCUCCCGUCUACCAGUUGAGGACCUGUGCCCACUCACCCUUUCUGCCUCACGUCCUGUCUGACUUGGCCGGUCCCCUUCUGCAGAGUGAGCCCCUUCCCUCCUCUUUCUCCUGCUCUGAGGUUUCCCUGUAUCCAGCUCCCAAUCCGGGCCUGGGGCUGAGCCAGUCAGAAUGCCCCCGACUGUGCCCCACUCACUUCACCAGAUUCUACCACUGAGACCGCGCUGAUUAUCACAGAGGGGAGAGCAUGUGACUUUCAGAUUUGAUUUGACAGUAAUUUUUUGUUAUUGUUCUCAAUCUUUAAACAUUUUAACUGAAGGAAUAAAGAGAUUUUAUAUUUUGUGUUUUA